UACGUAGGGGGGCAAGCGUUGUCCGGAUUUAUUGGGCGUAAAGAGCGUGUAGGCGGCUUUACAGGUCCGUUGUGAAAACUCGAGGCUCAACCUCGAGACGCCGGUGGAAACCGUAAAGCUAGAGUCCGGAAGAGGAGAGUGGAAUUCCUGGUGUAGCGGUGGAAUGCGCAGAUAUCAGGAGGAACACCAAUAGCGAAGGCAGCUCGCUGGGACGGUACUGACGCUAAGGCGCGAAAGCGUGGGGAGCGAACAGG
rnacentral:rRNA from 1 species